rnacentral:rRNA from 1 species
UGGGGAAUAUUGGACAAUGGGCGCAAGCCUGAUCCAGCCAUACCGCGUGAGUGAAGAAGGCCUUCGGGUUGUAAAGCUCUUUCAGACGGAAAGAAACGGUCGCGGCCAAUACCCGCGACUAAUGACGGUACCGUAAGAAGAAGCACCGGCUAACUACGUGCCAGCAGCCGCGGUAAUACGUAGGGUGCGAGCGUUAAUCGGAAUUACUGGGCGUAAAGCGUGCGCAGGCGGUUUGGUAAGACAGAUGUGAAAUCCCCGGGCUUAACCUGGGAACUGCAUUUGUGACUGCCAGACUAGAGUGUAGCAGAGGGGGGUAGAAUUCCACGUGUAGCAGUGAAAUGCGUAGAUAUGUGGAGGAAUACCGAUGGCGAAGGCAGCCCCCUGGGAUAACACUGACGCUCAUGCACGAAAGCGUGGGGAGCAAACAGGAUUAGAUACCCACGUAGUCCCUGAGCGGGCUGGCAAGGCGCAU